rnacentral:rRNA from 1 species
UACGAAGGGGGCUAGCGUUGCUCGGAAUCACUGGGCGUAAAGCGCACGUAGGCGGCUUUUUAAGUCAGAGGUGAAAUCCUGGAGCUCAACUCCAGAACUGCCUUUGAUACUGGAGAGCUGAGUCCGGGAGAGGUGAGUGGAACUGCGAGUGUAGAGGUGAAAUUCGUAGAGUAUUCGCAAGAACACCAGUGGCGAAGGCGGCUCACUGGCCCGGUACUGACGCUGACGGUGCGAAAGCGUGGGGAGCAAAGCAGG